GAUGAACGCUGGCGGCGUGCCUAAUACAUGCAAGUCGAGCGAACAGACGAGGAGCUUGCUCCUUUGACGUUAGCGGCAGACGGGUGAGUAACACGUGGAUAACCUACCUAUAAGACUGGGAUAACUUCGGGAAACCGGAGCUAAUACCGGAUAACAUGUUGAACCGCAUGGUUCAACAGUGAAAGACGGUCUUGCUGUCACUUAUAGAUGGAUCCGCGCCGCAUUAGCUAGUUGGUAAGGUAACGGCUUACCAAGGCAACGAUGCGUAGCCGACCUGAGAGGGUGAUCGGCCACACUGGAACUGAGACACGGUCCAGACUCCUACGGGAGGCAGCAGUAGGGAAUCUUCCGCAAUGGGCGAAAGCCUGACGGAGCAACGCCGCGUGAGUGAAGAAGGUCUUCGGAUCGUAAAACUCUGUUAUUAGGGAAGAACAAAUGUGUAAGUAACUAUGCACGUCUUGACGGUACCUAAUCAGAAAGCCACGGCUAACUACGUG
rnacentral:rRNA from 1 species